rnacentral:rRNA from 1 species
CCUACGGGGGGCAGCAGUGGGGGAUAUUGCACAAUGGGGGGAACCCUGAUGCAGCGACGCCGCGUGGGUGAAGAAGCGCCUCGGCGCGUAAAGCCCUGUCAGCCGGGAAGAAAAUGACGGUACCUGAAGAAGAAGCCACGGCUAACUACGUGCCAGCAGCCGCGGUAAUACGUAGGGGGCAAGCGUUAUCCGGAUGUACUGGGGGUAAAGGGGGCGCAGACGGCGAUGCAAGCCAGGAGGGAACGCCAGGGGACCAACCCCGGAAGUGCUCUGGAACCUGGGCGGCUAGAGUACUGGAGGGGCAGGCGGAAUGCCUGGUGUAGCGGUGAAAUGCGUAGAUAUUAGGAGGAACACCAGUGGCGAAGGCGGCCUGCUGGACAGUAACUGACGUUGAGGCUCGAAAGCGUGGGGAGCGAACAGGAUUAGAUACCCCAGUAGUC